AGCAGCUACAAUAAUUUUCAGCUCCAAUAGCGUAUAUUAAAGUUGUUGCAGUUAAAAAACUCGUAGUUGAAUUUCGGGGAUCAAUGUUUCGGUCAUGCCGUUGGUAUGUACUGAUAUUUUGAUUUCUCAAUCUUCUAAAGAACCGUAAUGCCAUUAAAUUUGGUGUCACAGGAAUUUGACUGUUACCUUGAAAAAUUAGAGUGUUUAAAGCAGGCUCACGCUUGAAUAC
rnacentral:rRNA from 1 species